UGGGGAAUUUUGGACAAUGGGGGAAACCCUGAUCCAGCCAUCCCGCGUGUGCGAUGAAGGCCUUCGGGUUGUAAAGCACUUUUGGCAGGAAAGAAACGUCAUGGGUUAAUACCCCGUGAAACUGACGGUACCUGCAGAAUAAGCACCGGCUAACUACGUGCCAGCAGCCGCGGUAAUACGUAGGGUGCACGCGUUAAUCGGAAUUACUGGGCGUAAAGCGUGCGCAGGCGGUUCGGAAAGAAAGAUGUGAAAUCCCAGAGCUCAACUUUGGAACUGCAUUUUUAACUACCGGGCUAGAGUGUGUCAGAGGGAGGUGGAAUCCCGCGUGUAGCAGUGAAAUGCGUAGAUAUGCGGAGGAACACCGAUGGCGAAGGCAGCCUCCUGGGAUAACACUGACGCUCAUGCACGAAAGCGUGGGGAGCAAACAGG
rnacentral:rRNA from 1 species